CGCGCUCGAGCGCUCCGGGUGGGGCUGUGAGCCCAGCGCUGAGAAAAGGGAGCUGGAAGACCAGUGUGGAGCCUGAGCCAGCUGGAGAGGGGCCCGGUAGGAUCGCCCAGUGCGCCUCGUCGCCAUGCCUCGGAAAAUUGAAGAAAUUAAGGACUUCCUGCUCACAGCCCGACGAAAGGAUGCCAAAUCUGUCAAGAUCAAGAAAAAUAAGGACAACGUGAAGUUUAAAGUUCGAUGCAGCAGAUACCUUUACACCCUGCUCAUCACUGACAAAGAGAAGGCAGAGAAACUGAAGCAGUCCCUGCCCCCUGGUUUGGCAGUGAAGGAACUGAAAUGAACCAGACACACUGAUUGCAACUGUAUUAAAAUACUAAAAAUCCUAAAAAAAAA